GUCGCCCGCCCCGUGCGAGAGCGACCUAACUCGCGUCCCCCCGACCCCCCUGGCCUCCUCCUCCUCCUCUCCAUCACCCUCUUGCUCGCCGUCGCCACCGCCCUGUCCUUCCCCGCCACUCAUCUCCCCCUACUCCGGCGCGCCCUCUCACUAGCCGCCACAUCCCUCAGCCCAUGGAUUUCGGCACAACCACUCUCGGCCGCCACCUCUCCUCUCAUCUCCUCGUUUCCUCCAAAUUUCACGAUCUGGAGUUGGAGAGGCAAAUACGUCCGCCGACGCCACGGAGAUGGAGGAGGCUGCAACUGGUGCUGGAGAGCCAUGGGUGGCUGAGAGGAGGAAGGGAGGUACCCUCUCCUGCAUCUCGCGCAAAGCCAUCCUGCUGGUGGCUCGAGCGAUGCAGGCAGCGACGAGCGCCAGUGAGUGUAGGAGCCUGGCAGCGGGAGCAUUGGUGCCGGUAGUGCAGGAACCUGGCAGCGGGAGCGUUGGCGCGAGGACCACCGUGUCGCAGGUCAAGACUUGGGAGUGCAUCUGGAAUCCCGGGUUGUCCUGGUUGUUCAUCGUUCGGCUUGCUACCUGGGGAGGAAUGCCAUAUCCUGAAAAGGAAGAAGUCCGUACCCGUCUAAGGCAGGACCCAAAUUUCUGGAAAAAUAGGCCCUUGUCUGAAGUGAUGAUUUGAGCAGCAACAGAUGAUGUGCGCUUCCUUCUCAAUAUACAUGAGAAAAUGAUGGAGAAGUUGAGCAAAGUAUCUUCAUGGCGUCUGGCAGUACGAAGUGAGCUAUACUGUAGGUGUUUUUGCAUAAAUGACAACCAGCAGGCAGAUUGGCCGCCUCUUCUAACUGUCCCUGAACAAAAUCGAUUAAACAUUGUUGACGGAUGACAUUGAAGCUGAAGCUUGUGUUCCUGAGGUGGAUAUCCUUUCGCUCUAGGAUGUGCCUCCUGGAAAAAUGGGAUGUGUUAUUGGCAGAAAAGGAUCAUCAAUAAUUAUUCUGAAAGAAUCUUGCAAGUACUCAUCUUAAGCUUGAUUCUUCAGAUAUCGCAUGAUAUUUAUUCUGCAAUAUCUAAUUUGGUCUUCCCUGGUUUGUUUUCACUCCUAUGUGGAGUGUUGAAAUCCAUAUCGGUGGUGCAAAGGGGCCUCCAGGUAGGGCCUAGCAGGCGAUAACGGCGCCACGAGGAUUCGCUGCCGUGAGGAGGACCCCGACCCGUAUGAUGGCCGCCGGAAGGUCACGCACUUCUUUGGCUCGCUCAGACUAGCUCCAUUGACGGCUUCUCUAAGGUAUCUUCUUGUGCAGCUUCACACUUGCUUGUGUGUCUCUUGCAAAAAGUAAGCUACCUGGUACCUCUCUACUCUUCUUUAGCAGGUGUUUGCAGAGGAAGCCGAGGGAUACAUGAUACUGGUAAUUUACUAAUGAUCCAUAUUGUUGGAAUAAUCUCACGAAUUCUAUUGAAAACAGAACUUAUUUCGGUAUGCUUAAUGUUUGGUUUUAGUAAUUAUGUCUGCUUUAGUAGCCAGGAGCAUCCCCUCCCAUUUCUGACUUUGAACCAUGUGCCCCGUUUAAACCAGCGUAAUUCGAUGACCUUAUGCAAUUAUUUGGUACAAAGAAUGUGCUGAUAAAGUAUUUUUAUUUUUUACUUUACUAUGUUUAGUUCUGACGUAUUGAUACUCCUGUCAAUCUGCUCUAAUCUGGUUCGCCGAUAUCCUGAAGGAAUUAGACCAUCCUAUAUCUUUUUUUCUGAUUUUUGUUGGAUACCUGCUUAGAUGGGUGAACUUUUAACCCAUCUUUUAUUGCUUGCAGGUGUAUUUGUUGGGUUACUCUUGGCGUGUUGAACAAAAAUUGGCGUUCGGCACCUGCUAUUUAAAGAUGGUUUGAUCAGUACUAGGGAAAACCCAUAUAUGGAACGAAAUUAUUGUAGGUAUCUAAGAAUGCUGAUGAUUACACUCGGAGCAAGGCUUGUCACGGCGCUACAAGUGUUGCCCCCCUCCUCCCCAAGGGCAAGGUGAAGGAAGGUGCCUGUGUGGUUCUUCUGCAGCUCGCAGCGAGGAUUGCUGUGUCCAACCUGCACAAGAAUGCCAAGAAGUCCUUCUCGGAGAUGUAAGCCACGACGCAUGUUUCUGCCAUGAUUUCCUUCGGUUGGAUUUCAUGGAUUUAGGUGUUGAAAAAUUAUGGGCUGUGGAUGCAGGAUUAAGGACAUGUACCUGCACUACAACGAGAGAUCUAGGCCGCUUCUUUGUGGCUUUCAAACUUGAAAUAUUUGUUUGGAAAUUAGUUUAGUUUUUUGUCGUGGACUCACAGCUUCUUACAUGUACCAUCCUCUUAGACCUUUAGAUUUCCAAAGAAACUAAAUGAAGAUAUGGUGGUAUGGUCUCAAUAGUAUAACUUAAAGCCUUCCAUGCUUUAUAUUUUCUCUGAAAUUUGCUCU